UCUGUCUCCUCCCGAUUCUAUAGAUGCCAGACAGGAUGACCAACAUAUCCUUCAGCGGACGAUAGAGCACAUAUGUCUGGGUGUCUAUCAAAAAAAAGCAAGCCUUUAUAAUCAGACAGACAGCAACAAGAUUCGACAAAUGCGGCGACGGAAAUUGGGGGACGAGAAAAGAAAACUCUUUGAAGCAAUCAAACGAUACAAUGAGCAGGUGCCAGAGGAGGAGGGCAUAAAUGAGCAGAUGGUGGAGAGCCGACUCUCUAUGGUGGGCCAUGCCAGUGGGGAGGACAGUCUAAUAUGGCCAUGGGAGGUUCACAGCACUGAAUCCACAAACAUCCUCACUAAGAAGAAGAUCUUCGAUGCAUGCAUGUCAAAGAUGCGGCUGCAAGAAGAGAAGAUCCUAAUUCUUAGGGAGAUGAGACAGCACUGCACCUAGCUCAGAGGGUUGGCCGAUGGCAUUAGGAAGCUGAUUGCAGACAUGUCUGGAGGAAACCGUGGCAGUUUAACUGACGAGGGGCAUUGUGGGCUACAGUGUCUUCUACAGGAAAGGCUUGCUGAUGUGGAGGAGAAGAUUCAAGUCGUUUCCUCAAGAUACAGCUUGGCUUUAGGACCUCUAUUCCCUGAAGACUGGUCCGAGGAGAUACCGGAGAUACCGGAUGAGAGUAAAGGACUUGAAUAUGAGAGCUCAGAGGACAGUGAUUUGGAAGAUGUCUAAUUUGUGAAUUGACAUGUGUUUUUGCAUUUGCUUGCCUGUUGUUUUUUUGUUUUGUUUUUUUUGGCGGGGUGGUUUUGGACAUGCCCUUUUUCAAUAGAUAGCCUCUCUCAUUUAAUUUACAUAAAUACCAUUGCCUUUAUUGUGAUGAGUAAACUAGCAAAUUUAUUUUAGUGUCAGAUGAAGUGUCCCCACCCACCAGCCCUGUAACUGGUCAAACUGAUGUACUUGGUACUGACUCUAUAAAUAAAAAGCUGAUGUAUAGUGAUCUUUCUGCUGUUAUGCUUUAUAAGCUCUGUUUGCUAGGCUUAA